UCUAAACUGUUGAUGGGGAAGUAAAACCGCAAGACCAGCUUUAAAGAGAGCCGGGGAAGGUGGAAGCCUGGCAAGUAACGGAGCGGGUAAAUGGGCCCCUGAGGGCGGAGCGAAAAGCAAUGAGUAGCUUACGACGCAUAGCCAGCGUUAUUGGGCUAAGGGUGUGAUGGCACCCUGCAAGAGAGGAUGUAUGGUUUAUUCAUGCAUCAAUUAAGGUGGUACCGCAGGUUAUACGCCUGUCCUUAAG
rnacentral:ncRNA from 1 species